GACGAACGCUGGCGGCGUGCUUAACACAUGCAAGUCGAACGGAAAGGCCCUGCUUUUGUGGGGUGCUCGAGUGGCGAACGGGUGAGUAACACGUGAGUAACCUGCCCUUGACUUUGGGAUAACUUCAGGAAACUGGGGCUAAUACCGGAUAGGAGCUCCUGCUGCAUGGUGUGGGUUGGAAAGUUUCGGCGGUUGGGGAUGGACUCGCGGCUUAUCAGCUUGUUGGUGGGGUAUUGGCUUACCAAGGCUUUGACGGGUAGCCGGCCUGAGAGGGUGACCGGCCACAUUGGGACUGAGAUACGGACCAGAAUCCUACGGGAGGCAGCAGGGGGGAAUAUUGCACAAUGGGAGGAAGCCUGAUGCAGAAACGCCGCGUGCGGGAUGACGGCCUUCGGGUUGUAAACAGAUUUCGCCUGUGACGAAGCGUGAGUGACGGUAAUGGGUAAAGAAGCACCGGCUAACUACGUG
rnacentral:rRNA from 1 species